AGCUAAAUGAGUGAUUAAACCAAAAUAUCUAGCUUUAUUAGAAAAGAAGAAAGAUAUAAAAUCAAUGAUCUAAGAUUCCACUUUUAAAAGCUGGAAAAACAAGAGCAAAAUAAGUACAAGAAAGGAAAUAAUAAUGAUAAGAGCAAAUAUUGUGACAUAGAGAACAAACAGAAACUCAAGAAAGCCAAAAGUUGGUUCAUUGAAAAUAUCAAUAAAAUUAGUAAAUUCCUAGCUAGACUCAUCAAGGGGAGAGCUAGAAAGAAAACAAAUUAUGAAUAUAAAGAAUAAAAGAGAAGAUAUCACCACAGAGCCUGCAGACAAUAAAAAGAAUUUUUAAGAUAAUAAGACAAUUAAAAUAAUAAUAAGAAAAUAUUAUAAAUUUAUGCCAAUAAAUUUGACAACAUAGAAGAAAUGGACAAAUCGCUUGACAAAUUACAACUUGCCAAAAUUGACACAAGAUGAAAUUGAAAAUUUAAAUGCUCUUAUCUGUUAAAGAUAUUGAAUUCAUUACCAAAACCCUUCCCAGGAAGAAAACAUCAAGCCGAGAUAUUUUCACUGGUGAAUAGCAAACAUUUAAGGAAGAAAUAACAUGAAACUUUCAGAAGAUAGAGCAGGAGGGAACACUUCCCAGUUCAUUUUACAAGGCCAGAAUAACCCUGAUACCAAAACUUAACAAAGACAUCAUAAGUAGAUAGAAUCCAGAUUUCAGUAUCUUAAUGCAUCAAGAUUUAUUUCUUACUAUACUACAUAUCCAAAAUAGGUCAUUAAGAAGGCUUUGCUCAUCAUAGACACUCAGGGACUAGGCUGAUGAAACUUACUUCUCAAUACAUGCUUCCACUGUGAUUGAGGCAGAAAAAGGAGACGUAGUGAAUUGCAUACUGAUUUUUAAAGCUUCUGCCCUAAAGUGACAUGUGUCACUUAUGCUCAUAUUCAUGAUCACAUCCCAGGGAGAUGGGGAAGUCCUAUCAUGUUCUUGGAAGGAGUAUGGCUAGUGACUAUCUCAGGAGUCACAGAUGUAUAUAUAGUAACAGAAGAGCCUAAAUAAGUCACGUGAAUGACCCGCCCAGUGAGAGAGCACAGAGUGGACAAGAAGGGGGCCCUGGCGCCUGGCCUUAAGCAGUGCCACCAGCCUGAGAGAGGAGGAUGAGCCUGUGAAGGAGGCUGAGGUAGAGCAACCAGAGAGAGAGACAGGGGAAAAACCAGCAACUCCCUUUUUCUUGAAAAUAUUUCAUUCAUUCAAAAAAUAUUUAUGGAGCAUCUGCUAUGCGCCAAGCCGGUCCUGAGCAUGGAAGAAAGAGCAGUCGACAAGACAAAUGCCAUCCUUGUCCUCAGAAUCUAUUCCUGCAUCCAAAGAAGUCAAGUGGCCCAACCUCUUUGGCAAGGCAGGGGCCUCAGUUUGGACUGAUUUACUGAAAAGCGGCAAAUAGAAGCAAGAGCAAUGGGGGUCAGAGGAAAAUGGACUUCCCAUGAGAGGAAGGGGGUUGUUGGAUAGGGCUUGUCAUCUGGAAAGUCUUGGGGACUUUGGGGAAGGCACGGGUGUGUCCACACAUGUCUCUGGGGCAACUCAGUGCAGAGAAUCACUCUGUGCUUCGCAAGUGUCGUGACGUGCAGGUGGUGCUGUUGACGAUACGUGUGCGAAGAAAGACAACCCAACAAAAUGACACCCUCCUGGGAAGCACGCCCAUUCUGGUUUUUUGUUGUUGUUUUUUACUUUUGGUUGUAGAAAUUUGAAAUCGUAUACAAAAAUGGAGAAAAUAGUACAGUGAACCUCCGUGGCCCAUCAUCCUCGCUUCUACUGGCCUCUUCCUCCUCCAAACGCCUCCAGCCUGCCCCUGUCCCCAUGUGGCAGUUAACUGUGUACUUGCUCAUGAAAUCUUAGUUUCAGCUACUCCUGAAACGAGCACUAUUUCGAGGGCUUUUCUGCUAUGUGAGCCAACAAAUUUCUUUCCGUAUUUGAGUUUGAAGCAGAUUAUUUUCUCUAGAAAUGGAAAGAAUCCUGUCUAAUAUAGACACCCAGAGUUUAGUGUCGCCCAACCUUAUCUGCCUGUCACCCUGGGCCCAAGUGCUUAUCUAUGGCUGCAUAACAAAUUACCCUAAACUUAGUGACUUUGGCAACCAGCCUCUAAGAUGGCCCUUAAACAUUCUCACCUCCUGGUAUUCACGCCCUUGUGGAGCCUCCUCCCAUAUCCUGUCAAGGUUAGUCUGUGAGACCAACAGAAUAUAGUGGAAGUGAUGCCGUGUGACUUCCAGGCAAGGUCAUAAGAGACAUUGCACUUUGCACCUUGCUUCUCCUGGGCACAUCCCACUGCACUGUGGUGUCUGAGUGAGCACACAGGAGGGUACACGACCGAGCCUUGGGGAGUCAGGGAGGGCUGCCUGGUGGAAGCAGUGACUGAACUGUGUUCUAAAACCUACCCCCGCAAAUGCCCAGUGGACACAGGUCUCUGAAGGCAGUUCAGUGAUGACAUUCAUGCCUUCAGGACAGGCUGUCACGCCUUCCAGGAUGUCAAAAGACACAUCUGGCCAGUGUAUGCACCAUGGAAGGGAGAAAACCAGACAAGGCCCCCAGACACUAUUUUCCUGCUGGGCCACACAGGAUCAUUUUCUCAGGGACCCCCUGCAGCCAGUGCCCCAGCCUCUGUGGUCAGCUCAGAGAAGUGAAGCUAAAGGAAGAGCCAUAGUUUCCACAGGCAAGAAGUUGGGGGUGGGCUGUUGGAGAGGAGGUGUUGACCUCCUGCAAACACACAGACACACAUCCUGUGAGCUGAGCUACUGCCUAUGCUUGAGCCACCCCCACCUCUGUCGACCAGCUGUCUCCAUUCCUAUCUGUGCCUUCCCCAAACGGGGAGCCCAGAACCUGCUAGAAUGUCCCUCCCCCUCCAACAACAGCUCCUGGCUCUCCCGCCCACACACUUCCCACUCCGGCCCCCUCCUUCCCAGCAGGGUCUUCACCAGGCCUGCCUCCUCUCCCUGGUUCUCAUUUGCACUUCAUUGGUCUUCUUUUCUUCCCUUUUGCUAGAUUUCCUUCCUAUGUGAUGUGACAUUGAGUGGGCAUGAGCAUGCGUCUCUGUGCACAUUCCUAAGAGUGUGUGUGUGUGUACAUGUGUGUACACCACUGGAUAUUGGUGUGUGUGCCAGACCCGGUGUAUGGGUACGUGCAUGCAAUGGGCUCAGAUAUGAGGUAGGCAGAGGUCCAGACCCUUUAGCACCUCCUGGAAAAGGCCUCCCUGCCCUGGCCCCAGCCUACCUCCCAGGCUUAUAUCUCAUGACACCUGCUUGGAACUCCCCCAACUCUUGCUCUCUCUCUCUCCUCAGCCUAGGGUUUCUGGUCCCAAUCUCCAUCCAUUAUUAGGCAAACUACUGCUUGUCCUUUAAGACUGGGCUCAAGCGUCACCUCCUCCCAGGAGCCACCUUGAGCCCUUGUGUCUGAGCUGGAUGCCCCCUACAGCAAUGGCCCCCAUCUCAUCUCUGCCCAAGGGCCAGCUGCUUGAGGGCCAGGACCUUGCCUGUGCUGGUCCCUUUCCCCCAGCAUCCAGCACGGCGCCUGGCUCAGGGUAGGAACUCAUUGCAGGGGGUGAAUGCAGCCACAGAGGCAGGGCAGAGAGGAAGACAGAAUUGGAGGCGGGGAAUAUAUAUGUAUAUAUAUAUUCUUUCCCCCAGCUAAUUAAUCUAGACAGAACUUUUCUCCUGGUAGAUUAAGGUUCAAGGGAAUUGUAGGGAUGUUGGGGAACGUGGGUUCAUUUUAUCCUUGGAAUUGAGGGGGAACUGUGUCCCCCAUCCCAUUACCCCCAUACACACUGGCACCACACCAGGCUGUGCUCUGGAAAGAAUGUGAGUUAUCACUCCUGUAAUCUUCCUGGCUUAAGGCCAGGGGCAAACACACUCGCAGCUCUGACCCUCACUAACCAUCCUCCCCACCCCAAACAAACGUUGAAGUCAGUCCUGGCCUGAGAAUGUGCUGGAAGACAUAGAGGGGAGGAAGGCCCCGCCCCCUCGGCCCCCACUGCUCCCCGAGCCAAUCGCGGAGCCCCUUUGGUUUCCGGAGCAAGGGUGAGGGGCGGGAGACGGGGAGUGGGACUGGAAGGGAUUUCCAGCCAGGCAGGCUGCAUGCUCCGGGGACUGACGCAACUGGAGAAUUUGGCUUCUUUUUAUCACAUAUAUCAUUUUGCCAUAUAUGGUCACCAAGAGCUACUGGCAGCCAGGCUCGGGCCCAGAUGGUGGGCUCCCAGAGUGAAAUGAGCUACAUACCAGCCCAGAACAAACAGACCAUCGCUCACUCGGCCGGACAGGUGGGUGGGCCAAGAGAGGGGUUAUAUAUAGUUCUGGUCGCAUUCCUUCACUAAUGCAUGUUGGCCCCCAAAUGCGCAAACAAUCUCCAUUUCUGGUUCUUUUUACUGAAUUUGCUAAUUGCUAUUCUUCUAUAACCAAGGGAACGAAAAAAUUCCAGGAGGAAUGUGGGGGAAGAGAGCUGCUGGCCAUUUCCCUUCCUUGAUCCUGUGACGGUCCCCUCCUCCCACUCCCCACCCCUUCUUCUCUCACAGCGCCCCUGAAGGCUUUCCCAUGGUGGCCACCCCCAGAGGGCCUGCCCAGCUGCCUCCCCUCAUUUCUCCUAGAAUCCCCUUCUUCCCUGUACCUCUCUCCAGCCCAGGUGAAGCUGGCCAGGUGCAGAUGACCCCCUGAGGCUGGACAGAAUUCAAAGCAGCAUAGACAAACAGCAGACAAGACCCGCAGCUCCCAGGCCCUGUCCUUGCCAGAUGUUGGUGGCUCACCGUCCCCAACUGGCCUGACCCAGCAAGAGAUGCCACCCCAGCCUUCCAGGGACCUGAAGGUAGCCCAAAUGGCAGCACAGGAAGACAACCCCUGAGAUUAUGAGACCCAAGUAAAUCUUGGUGAUCCCCAAAGGCCUCUGUGGGGACUUCACUUUCUACCUCUAGCCUGAGGCAGUCAAUAUUUCCCGGGUUUACACCUCCAGCCCACAUCUCCAGAGCUCCAGACUCGCAGGUCAGAGGUGGCACUGUUUACCUGCCAAGGUGGUGGUACAAGCCUAAAGCAAAGACAGAUGGAGCAAGACUAGACCAACUCUGAGUGGUGGGCACAAGCUUGGGGCUGUUCCUUCACAGGAGCAGCUGAAUCUCCCAAGUCAGGGACGAGGGAGGCAGCUAGCCUCCCACACAGUGUCUCAAAGCUGCCAUCAGAGAGAGCACACUCUGGGUAGAAUGUGGCUCUGUGAUCUCUGUCUUCUAAUUCACUCUAAAUAGUAGGGACUGCUUCUUCCAGCAUCGCACUCCCUGUGCCCCUAGAACACGGGGAGCUCAACCCUGCUAUAUGUGAGAAAUACAAGGGAGCGUUUACAAACUACUGCUGUCGAGACCCAGUACAUUCUGAUGCAAUGGUCUGGGGUAGGUCUCAGGCAUGUGAUGUGAUAUAUAUCUGCUCCCUCACACUUUCCUGGUCAUCUGAUGAGUAGGUACAGCUGCAAACCAGGGUGGCUCUUUCUGGGGUAUCUGACCCAAGCCCACCAGCUCCUGAUCCCCCAACCUGGGUCAGCCUCAGGUCCACCCAGCAAAGCCGCUGACCAGGGAGCUGAGGGGUCUAACUGGCCAGUAAGGGUGAUCCCUGGCCUGGGAGUCAGAAUCCUGACUCCCACCUGGCUCUGCCCUGAAUUACCAGGACCCCGUAACUCAGUGCUCCUAAUUUCCUACAACCCCAAUUUCUUCAACCACCAACUCAGGAGGCAGAGAAGUUUUAUAAAGACCAACGAGAUUGUUUACCCAGAGUAAUGCUGCUAAACAAAUACUCUGCACCCACCAUGCUAGGUGCUGAAGGCAUGUUAUUUCCUUUGGUUCUACUACUCUGCCCACUUUAAAGCUGAGAGAAUUGAGGCUCAGAGAAGCUAACUCACUUGACCAGGGUCCCACAACCACUAACUACAUGAGGGAGCUGGAAUACAAUUCCAGAGCUUGCAUGCCUAAGCACCACCUUUGGUUUACACACCAGAGGAAUAUGAAGGGACUUAUUGCUGGCUGUCUUUUCCCGGAGGUCAAGGCUAAAGCUGGCAAGACAUACUCUGGGAGGAUGGUUCAGGUCGUGCAGAGAAGUGCCCUUGGCACACUCCUUGAUGUUGGUGUGGCAGCGUUGGUUUCCCCACCCUCCAUCGUGGGCUGCCAAGGAGUGGCUGCAAAGCUUUCUUCUUCAUUUAGUAAGAGCACAAGAUGGUGGUUGGCCCAAAGAUGAGGUGACAUUAGCCAGCUGAGAGAGAACAGCAGCCUUCUCUGCCCAGCUGGAAGGAAAGAAAAAACAAAGGAGCAUGGCAGAGUGAACUGUGGGCCUGUCUCCAACUCUGAAAGCUAGUAGCCUGCAGGUUCAGAUCUCCCUGCAUCCCGCCGCUCCACUUUUCACCUUCUUUUGAGCAAACCCAGAAGAGGAAUUCGAGCAUAGGAGAGAGUGGAAGAUGAGGUUAGUGUCAUGAGGGAGUGAAGGUAGAAGCAACCUGAAUCCGAAAACUGGGGUGUGGUAACUGGAAUUGGCAAGUCCAAGAAGAGCUAAGAGGCCAAGUGGGAAAGGUCAGAGACAUGGCUUUGUAAGUGUGUGUCAUUUGUUGACUUAAUGGAACUUGAACUUAAAAGAUGAGAGUUCAAGAGGUUAUUGGUUGCCUCUGAGGUAUUUUGCCUGAAUUGAGGGUAAGCUGCCACCCGUGGGACUUUUUGUUGUGGUGUUUGAACAGUCUGAUUGCAGUCAGAGCGUGGAUAACCACAGAAUUAGCAUCCCUUGCCUCUCAUCAUCUUUAUUAAACAUACACAUACAAACACACAAACACACACCAACCUCUUAAGUUAAAAGAAAACCAAAUUUGAAAAACAAUAAUGUUAUAAGAUGGAAUAGAGAGAGACAAGUUUCUGGGUUCCCCAUGGCUCCCUCUUCGCUAAGGCCAGACGCGAUGGUUCUUGCUCUUCUCCCUCUCUGAUGAUCUCAGUGGGGGAGAGAAAACCUUGCCUUUUUGUCUCACCUGCUUGAUUUAAUGACUGACUACACUCCUCCCUCCUCUAAGAGAGGCUCAGCUCAAGUUGCACUUGGAAUGCCAUGCCUGUCUUCCAAUCCAGGGCUCUGUCUGCUGCACAUUGCCGGAGGGCUGGAACGGGCAAUGUGGGCUAGGUUUGAAGGUCGAGGAGAGAAGCCGCUCACUCACGCUCUGAUGAUGAGGCUUCUCGCUCCAGCACUGACGCGGGGUUCACUAUGUUAUAGCAGACAUGAAAUGUCAGCAGCAAAGCGCCCUUCUGGAUUUACUUUCCCACUUCCUUCCGACGGGGAAGAAGCAGGUAAGGGAACACAGGAAAAGCUUGCAUAAAGCUUCUUGAUCCAAUCAGGUACACGCCAGAGGAAAUACGUUUCCCAGAGGAAAUAAGAAACCACCAGAUUGAUGCCGAUGAGGUCCAGGUGAGGCAGGGCCAGGAAAACCAGACUCGGAAGGAGCUGGGGUCUUCAAAUCCUGUCAUUCUUUUGAAAUGUUUUCAUUACUGAAAUUUUCAAACGCAUACAAAAGCAGAGAAAAUAGUACAAAGAACCCCCUCGGACCUAUCAGGCAAUUUCAACAAUUAACCGCAUGCUGCCAUCCUUGCUUCAUCAUUUCCUGCCACGUGUUUGGGUUUCUUUCUGGAAUAUUUAAAAGCAAAUUUCAUGUACAUUAAUUCACCUGUAGAUACGUCAGUAUUUAUCUCUAACAGAAACAGAUUUUUAACACAACCAUCAUACCAACAUCACAUCCAACGAAAUAAAUAAUAAUUUCUUAAUAUAGAUAAUCUGUGUCCAGUUUUCUCUGU
ensembl:lncRNA